rnacentral:rRNA from 1 species
GACAAACGCUGGCGGCGUGCUUAACACAUGCAAGUCGAACGGUACUCCUACGGGAGUAUAGUGGCGGACGGGUGAGUAACACGUAGCUAAUCUACCCUGAUGUGGGGAAUAACCCCUCGAAAGAGGAGCUAAGACCGCAUAAGUUCUCUCUUGUUAGGGAGAGAAGAAACUUUGGCAGUGAAAAGCCAGAGGCGUUAGGAUGAGGCUGCGGCGGAUUAGCUAGAUGGUGGGGUAAAAGCCUACCAUGGCGACGAUCCGUAGCUGGUCUGAGAGGACGACCAGCCACACUGGGACUGAGACACGGCCCAGACUCCUACGGGAGGCAGCAGUGAGGAAUAUUCCACAAUGGGCGCAAGCCUGAUGGAGCGACGCCGCGGU